GUGGAGUUGUUGUCCCACGAGAAGAGGUUGUGGAAGGGGGCGGUGUCACCCAUGAUAUAAGGGUCGUAUCCCACUCCUUGGAAGCGGAUGACAGCUGAAUUCCACCCAAUGAUGUGUAUCGAACACUGGUCUGGACCUCGUACGUCACAGGAACGGAGCCGCCGUUAUACAGCUCGUAAAUCUGCAAGGGCAGAGAUGGGGAGACAGCCAGCCAGCUUGAGACUGUAGAACAGUGGAUGGUUCACACAGAAGCUCUCAGCCGAUCAGAGAGCAGAAAAGAAGUGUCUGUGUACUGCUCAGCUACAAGUGGGACAUAAGUAUCGUAACCCCCUUCAAGGCUCGGGGCCUGUUGCAGAAGAGGGGAAGGAAGACUGUAAGAGCCAGAAGAUGGGCAGGACCGGGGCCAGAGUAAAACAGUAUUUUUUUGGACAUGACAAGAUGGCCGCACUCAUGGACUCCCAGCACCUGUGGCUACCUGCACAAGACUCACUCAGUUAACACUGUUGUGAAGGGGAGGAGGGGUUUGUAGAGCCCCACCCCCACCGGACUGAGGAGGUACCGAUGAUUGACCGAGCUCC